GGGAAAGGGGGCCUACCCAUGCAAGUCGAGCGGUAGCACAGAGAGCUUGCUCUCGGGUGACGAGCGGCGGACGGGUGAGUAAUGUCUGGGAAACUGCCUGAUGGAGGGGGAUAACUACUGGAAACGGUAGCUAAUACCGCAUAACGUCGCAAGACCAAAGUGGGGGACCUUCGGGCCUCAUGCCAUCAGAUGUGCCCAGAUGGGAUUAGCUGGUAGGUGGGGUAACGGCUCACCUAGGCGACGAUCCCUAGCUGGUCUGAGAGGAUGACCAGCCACACUGGAACUGAGACACGGUCCAGACUCCUACGGGAGGCAGCAGUGGGGAAUAUUGCACAAUGGGCGCAAGCCUGAUGCAGCCAUGCCGCGUGUGUGAAGAAGGCCUUCGGGUUGUAAAGCACUUUCAGCGGGGAGGAAGGCGGUGAGGUUAAUAACCUCAUCGAUUGACGUUACCCGCAGAAGAAGCACCGGCUAACUCCGUGCCAGCAGCCGCGGUAAUACGGAGGGUGCAAGCGUUAAUCGGAAUUACUGGGCGUAAAGCGCACGCAGGCGGUCUGUCAAGUCGGAUGUGAAAUCCCCGGGCUCAACCUGGGAACUGCAUUCGAAACUGGCAGGCUAGAGUCUUGUAGAGGGGGGUAGAAUUCCAGGUGUAGCGGUGAAAUGCGUAGAGAUCUGGAGGAAUACCGGUGGCGAAGGCGGCCCCCUGGACAAAGACUGACGCUCAGGUGCGAAAGCGUGGGGAGCAAACAGGAUUAGAUACCCUGGUAGUCCACGCUGUAAACGAUGUCGAUUUGGAGGUUGUGCCCUUGAGGCGUGGCUUCCGGAGCUAACGCGUUAAAUCGACCGCCUGGGGAGUACGGCCGCAAGGUUAAAACUCAAAUGAAUUGACGGGGGCCCGCACAAGCGGUGGAGCAUGUGGUUUAAUUCGAUGCAACGCGAAGAACCUUACCUGGUCUUGACAUCCACAGAACUUUCCAGAGAUGGAUUGGUGCCUUCGGGAACUGUGAAACAGGUGCUGCAUGGCUGUCGUCAGCUCGUGUUGUGAAAUGUUGGGUUAAGUCCCGCAACGAGCGCAACCCUUAUCCUUUGUUGCCAGCGGGUUAGGCCGGGAACUCAAAAGGAGACUGCCCAUUGAUAAACUGGAAGGAAGGUGGGGGAUGACGUCCAAGUCAUCAUGGGCCCUUACGAACCAGGGCUUACCAACGUGGCUACAAUGGCCUAUAUCAAAAGAAAAACCGACCUCCGCGAAGAACCAACCGGGACCUUCAAAAAGGAUUG
rnacentral:rRNA from 1 species